AUUGAACGCUGGCGGCAGGCCUAACACAUGCAAGUCGAACGGCAGCACAGAAGUGCUUGCUCUUUGGGUGGCGAGUGGCGGACGGGUGAGUAAUGUCUGGGAAACUGCCCGAUGGAGGGGGAUAACUACUGGAAACGGUAGCUAAUACCGCAUAACGUCGCGAGACCAAAGUGGGGGACCUUCGGGCCUCACACCAUCGGAUGUGCCCAGAUGGGAUUAGCUAGUAGGUGGGGUAAUGGCUCACCUAGGCGACGAUCCCUAGCUGGUCUGAGAGGAUGACCAGCCACACUGGAAGUGAGACGCGGUCCAGACUCCUACGGGAGGGAGCAGAGGGGAAUAUUGCGCAAUGGGCGGGAGCCUGAUGCAGCCAUGCCGCGUGUAUGAAGAAGGCCUUCGGGGUGUAAAGUACUUUCAGCGGGGGGGAAGGCGGUGAGGUUAAUAACCUUGCCGAUUGACGUUACCCGCAGAAGAAGCACCGGCUAACUCCGUGCCAGCCGCCGCGGUAA
rnacentral:rRNA from 1 species